UACAGAGGGUGCAAGCGUUAAUCGGAAUUACUGGGCGUAAAGCGUGCGUAGGCGGAUUUGAAAGUCAUAUGUGAAAGCCCCGGGCUUAACCUGGGAAUUGCAUCUGAAACUGCAAGUCUAGAGUAUGGUAGAGGAUAGUGGAAUUUCCGGUGUAGCGGUGAAAUGCGUAGAUAUCGGAAGGAACACCAGUGGCGAAGGCGGCUAUCUGGGCCAAUACUGACGCUGAGGUACGAAAGCGUGGGUAGCGAAC
rnacentral:rRNA from 1 species